AUUGAACGCUGGCGGCAGGCUUAACACAUGCAAGUCGAGCGGUAACAGAGAGAAGCUUGCUUCUCUGCUGACGAGCGGCGGACGGGUGAGUAAUGCCUAGGAAUCUGCCUAGUAGUGGGGGAUAACUUGCCGAAAGGUAAGCUAAUACCGCAUACGUCCUACGGGAGAAAGGAGGGGACCUUCGGGCCUUUCGCUAUUAGAUGAGCCUAGGUCGGAUUAGUUAGUUGGUGAGGUAAUGGCUCACCAAGACCGCGAUCCGUAACUGGUCUGAGAGGAUGAACAGUCACACUGGAACUGGGACACGGUCCAGACUCCUACGGGAGGCAACAGUGGGGGAUAUUUGACAAUGGGGGGGAACCCUGAUCCAGCCAUGCCGCGUGUGUGAAGAAGGUCUUAGGAUUGAAAAGCACUUUUAGUUGGGAGGAAGAGCAGUUAACUAAUAUUUGACUGUUUUGACGUUACCGACAGAAUAAGCACCGGCUAACUUCGUG
rnacentral:rRNA from 1 species